UACGUAGGGUGCAAGCGUUGUCCGGAAUUAUUGGGCGUAAAGAGCUCGUAGGCGGUCUGUCGCGUCGGCUGUGAAAUCCCGGAGCUCAACUCCGGGUCUGCAGUCGAUACGGGCAAACUGGAGUACUGCAGGGGAGACUGGAAUUCCUGGUGUAGCGGUGAAAUGCGCAGAUAUCAGGAGGAACACCGGUGGCGAAGGCGGUUCUCUGGGCCGAUACUGACGCUGAGGAGCGAAAGCGUGGGGAGCGAACAGG
rnacentral:rRNA from 1 species